AGAAGCUGUUUCAAGCCAAUACCACAGGCGAUUAUAGAAGCACAGAGAAAGUAUAAUGGGUCCAAGAGUCACUGCCGUGGUAGGCAAGUGUCUUGCUAGAACGUUCAUCUGAAGAAGAUGUUGUUUUGUACAUAGUUUAAGUGGGUGUUUAAAUCCAAGGGGCAACUAGCUGCUUCUGGAACAAAUAAAAAUGAAGUAGAACCCUCAUAAAUUAGCAUGUUAGAAAUUCACAGGAAUGUAAAUGCGUUAUUGUCUGUACUUUUGCUCCUCUAGUGGAAGCUAUGAGAUAAAGUGUUUCAAAGGGAAAAUGUGAGAUGUACUUAAUUCUUAUAUUUAAUAUUAAGGGGCAGACCGAAGAAAAAAAUGCAGGAAGGUGGAGUGGAAAAAUUAUGGAAAUAUGUGGACAAUAUCUCAAAAUAUCUGAUAUCUGAAGGAACUGUGGAGAAUGCAGGUGUAACAGUGAAGUCACAAGACUCCACAUUAAGUAUUCUUUUGAGAAUUCACCAGGAGACAAUUUGUUUUAAAAGAGACCGAAAUCAAUGAGUUUCUUCAGUAACUUCUAGACGUAAAUGUAUCUCUUUGAUUAAGGAAAAAUCUGACUGGUCUCAGGACAUUGUUCUUUGUUUUUUAAUCCAAAAUCCACAACUCUUUGAUUCUGUGAAAAUAUAGACUCAAAUUUCAAAGAAGUAACAAAGUGCAAGCUAAUAUUUCCAAAAGGACUUGGAGCUGCUGAUACAUGACACACCAGGAGAGUCCGUGACCUUUGGAAAUCAAUUACCUUUAGAAGGGAAUGACCAGAAUGACCUGAAGCAGAUGAAGAGGCAGUCAGUCCAGCUCACUUUUUCCUUCUGUGCAGUGUCAUCACAAAACUCUCCACUGAUUUUCAUCUGUUGUGACCACGCUGUUAAGAAAGGUAGGUGCGAGUCCUGCUUACUGUAAAAUGGUACAACUGAGAAGCCAAAGUUCCUGCCUCUUAACACAUAGAGUACAGGUAUAUGUCUAAAGUGCCAGAUUCUAAUGGAAGGUUUAAUAUUAAAAAUCCUCUGAAACGUAGAAUAAUAGAAUCACAGAAUUCCUCAGGUCGGAAAAGGCCUUAAAGAUCAUCAAGUCCAAUCACAACUUAACCAUACUACGCAACUCUAACAACCCUCCACUAAAUCAUGUCCCUGAGCACCACAUCCAAACGGUUUUUAAACACAUCCAGGGAUGGUGACUCAACCACCUUCCUGGGGAGCCCAUUCCAGUGCUUAGCAACCCUUUCUGUAAUGAAGUUUUUCCUGAUAUCCAACCUGAACUUACCCUGGCACAACUUGAGGCCAUUUCCCCUCAUCCUAUCACCAGUGAGAAGACACCAACCCCGCUCUGCUGUGAGCACCUUUCAGGUACUGGAAGAGAGCAAUAAGGUCUCCCCUCAGCCUCCUCUUCCCCAUACUAAACAGUCCCAGUUCCUUCAGUCUCUCUUCAUAGAGCAUAUUCUCCAAGCCCUUCAGAAGCC
ensembl:lncRNA